rnacentral:rRNA from 1 species
UACGUAUGGUGCAAGCGUCAUCCGGAUUUACUGGGUGUAAAGGGAGCGCAGGCGGCACGGCAAGCCUGAUGUGAAAGCCCGCGGCCCAACCGCGGGACUGCAUUGGGAACUACCGGGCUGGAGUGCCGGAGAGGUAGGCGGAAUUCCUAGUGUAGCGGUGAAAUGCGUAGAUAUUAGGAGGAACACCAGUGGCGAAGGCGGCCUACUGGACGGUGACUGACGCUGAGGCUCGAAAGCGUGGGGAGCAAACAGG